rnacentral:rRNA from 1 species
CCUACGGGGGGCUGCAGUGGGGAAUAUUGGACAAUGGGGGGAACCCUGAUCCAGCCAUGCCGCGUGUGUGAAGAAGGCCCUCGGGUUGUAAAGCACUUUCAGUGAGGAAGAACGCCUGGUGGUUAAUACCCAUCAGGAAAGACAUCACUCACAGAAGAAGCACCGGCUAACUCCGUGCCAGCAGCCGCGGUAAUACGGAUGGUGCGAGCGUUAAUCGGAAUUACUGGGCGUAAAGCGCGCGUAGGUGGCUUGAUAAGCCGGUUGUGAAAGCCCCGGGCUCAACCUGGGAACGGCAUCCGGAACUGUCAAGCUAGAGUGCAGGAGAGGAAGGUAGAAUUCCCGGUGUAGCGGUGAAAUGCGUAGAGAUCGGGAGGAAUACCAGUGGCGAAGGCGGCCUUCUGGACUGACACUGACACUGAGGUGCGAAAGCGUGGGUAGCAAACAGGAUUAGAUACCCCAGUAGUC